rnacentral:lncRNA from 1 species
CCCAUCUGGUCCCUGGACUCUCUGAACACACUCACGGAUAAGCUCAUUGCCUAAACAGUCUCCUGGUCAUACACAGUCAAGAUUGCUGGAAUGAAGCAUAAUGGUCUGAAUUCCCUGAAUCCUCAGCUGGAACUCUGAGCCACCAGCAGGAACACUGUUCCUGUCCCAGUUGUCUAUGGGAGGUUAAAGAAGAAAGGAUAGUUGAACUGGGACCAGAAAAUGAUAAUCUACACCUGAGAUUGUCAGAGGUAAUGUUUUGCUCUGUCCUGUAGACUUACUGACCAACAUGUGAGUGUUUAUGUUGAGUCAGCUACUGCAGUUGCACAAUAUUUUGUAAAGGAUGGUGGCUUUCCCUUGAUUUUUG